rnacentral:tRNA from 1 species
UGAUAUGAUUAAAAAUUUACAAUUUUUUAUUCCAAGUUUGGCAUAUCAU